rnacentral:lncRNA from 1 species
AAAAAACUAGUUCCGUAGACUACAUUGUUAUACACAUGAACUGAUUAGAAGGUUCUAAAAAGACAAUUCUUUCUAGAAACUUCACCACUAAGCAGUCACUUAUGCGAGACCCCUCAAAUUUAAAUAUGAACGACAGAUGAAACAUUUUUUUCACGCUUUAACUCAUCCUUAUUAAGUUGCAGACCUAAUAUGAAUUAGUUCCCUCACAAAGUAUUUUAAAAGACAUAAAAUAUUUGACCUUGAACAAUGAAUGUUUUGAAAUUUCUAAUCAUCUGCAAACAGGAUCUUGAUGCACGACAGUUGUAAAACUUGCUUGUACGGUACAAUAG